CUAUGACUCAGCAAUUUCAUUCCUGGGUAUAUAUCCAACAGAAAUGUGUACUUAGGAGCACCAAAAGACGUGUGCUAAAAUGGUCAAGAGAGCACUAGUCAUAAUAGUUCCAAACUGGAAAACUACACAAAGAUCUUCAACAGUAGAAUGGAUAAAUUUUAGUAUACCUACAAUGGAUUACUUACAGCAGUGAGAACGAUCUAUGACUACAUACUACGAUGUAGGAAUGCAGCAAGUCUGGGUGAAGGUCUCCAAGGCACAUACUGAGCAUUGCUGAGGAAGGCAGAAGGUGACAGUGGCUAGUGCCAUUAAGAGACUUGCAACAGUGGAGGAGGAGGAACAGGGAAAACUAGUGGGAAAGACCAAAAGACCAAGUGUCACCACUUCUCUUGAAUGUCAAGAAAACUCAAAUCUGCUAGAAACAAAAGUGGAAUAGCAAGACCUCCGUUCUCUUUCCCUCCUCCCAAUCAGUUUCUCUACUGCAUUGUGCCAGGAAACAUGAAACCCCAGCAGGGACUCCAGAUGACAGCUCUCAGCAGGACACCUCGCCAAUCACUCUUAAGAUUGGUACUGACCUUUAGAAUUUUCCCCCACGAACAGUGCCCCCCUCCCCCAACUUCUUUCUGUCAGCAGCAGUACGUAGACCUAGCAGCAGCAAUUUCCACAAGCUUUUUGUAUUAGAAAUGAUAACUAGGGUGAGCAUAUAAUUUAUUGUCCAAACUGGAACAUCUUUUUUAAAUGUAGGCACUGGGAGAGUUUUUAAAGUUUUUAUUUUGAGAUAACUGUAUAUGCACAUGCAGCUGUAUGAAAUAAUACAGAGAGAUCCCUGAUACUGCUUACCCACUUUCCCCCAGUAGUAACAUAUUGCAAAACUGUAGUAGAAUAUCACAACCAGGAAACUGACAUUGUUGCAAUCCACUUACCUUAUUCAGAUUUCACUAGUUUUACAUGCAUUCCUUUGUGUGUGUGCAUCUUGCUCUAUGCAAUUUUAUCACAUGUGUAGAAUACUGUGACCACCACCACAGUCAAAAUACAGAAGAGUUCCAUCACAAAGAUCCCUUGUAUUGCCCUUUUAUAACCACUCUCACCUCCUCCCGGCCCUGCCUCCCCCUGCCCCAACCAGGCCCUGGCAACCACUAAUCUGUUCUCCAUCUCUACAAUUUUGUCAUUUCAAAACUUUUAUAUGAAUGGAAUAAUACAGGAUAUAACCUGUUGGGAUUGUCUUUGGUUUUUUUUUUAACUCAGAAUAAUUUCCUUGAGAUCCAGUCAACUUGUUGCAAGUAUUAGUAGUUGCUUUUUAUACCAUUCCAUGGUAUGGAUACACCACAUUUUGUUUAUCCAUUCAACAGUUGAUGGACAUUGUGUUUUUUCCAGUUUGGGGCUAUUAUGAAUAAAGAUGCUAUGACCAUUUGAGUACAAGUUUUGUGUGGGCAUGAGUCUUUAUUUCUUUGGGAUAAAUGCCCAAGAAUGUACUAUCUAGGUUGUAUAGUAAGCACAAGUUUAGUUUUUAAAGAAACCACCAUACUCUUUUCCAGAGUGGCUGUAUCAGUUUACUUUCCCACUAGCAAUGUAUGAGUGAGCCAUCUCCUCUGCAUCAUUGCCAAAAUUUGAUGUUAUCACUAUUUUUUAUUUUAACCAUUCUAAUAAAUGUGUAGUGAUAUGCUGCAUAAUCCUGCUCACAGCAACAAUUGUUUUGUGAUUGUUCCAUGGAAAGCGGGAUCAACCUCCCACCCAAAUUUGGUUCAAAUGUUGAGACUGUUGACACCAAACACACACAGUAAGAGGGUAUGAAAAGAGGGAAUUAUUCACAUAACGGGACUUUUUUGGGGGGAAGCAAGUCAGGCACCCAAGCCAGUCUGUGAUGGCUUGAGUGAAGGGAGGGGCAAGCGGCUUUGGAUUUUACUAUGAUUAGGGAGUGGGGCCGGGAUGAGGAUUCCCAUGUGUGGGCAUGGAUUUUCAUGGUUUGACCUUCCCUGGAGGUGCCAAGGAGGGAGUACCCAGGCUUUCUUAUCAGCUUGCCCAGAUAGAGGGCAAAAGGGGAAGAAGGAGAGGUGGAACCUGGAUUUAGACACUUCAUUGUAAAUUGUUUUUGCA
ensembl:lncRNA